rnacentral:rRNA from 1 species
AUGCGUACUGUAACUGAAAACCUAAAAAUGUCUUGUGCAAUAGGAAGGACAUCCUACAAGUGCCUACAUGUGUUGAGAUUGCAAUGUGAAGCGUGGACACCAACCACAAAAAUAUUUUUAAGGAUAGGAACAGAUGUUCUUAGAGCCGGAAAAGGGGAAGAUUUAUUUGUCGACCUCUAUAUGAACAAGAUGGAGGUACCCAUUGAUCUUUUAUAUAGUAAAAACAUUAUUGCUACGAAUAUGAUAUAUGAGGUUGGUGUUCAUGUUUAUACAAUAAAUGGCACCAAAAUAAACUCAAGUUUCUCCAUAGCAUACCAACUAACAUGGCCUAGUAUCUCAACUUGCUACAAACAUGUGUACUUUUCUCCCUUCAUUUUGUAUGUUCUUUUUUCUUCUUAUUAG